UGCCUAGCGGGGAACAUAUAAUCGAGGAAGACAAAGAUAAAAAUUAUUUCUUGUACUCAAGAAAGUUGUGGUCUACAUGGCAAAUUCCAACAUUCAUACAGAUGAAAAUCAACCUAAGAAACAAAGAAGUUCUUGUGGAAGAUUUUGAACUUGAGCAGAAUUGUGAGGAAAAGAUGAAUCACAGAGAGUGAUGACCAUGAUACUGGAAUUUUGGAAGAUGAAAAGGAGUUUAGUUGCUUGGAUUCCAGAGCCAAGAAUUUACUUCCUUUGAGUACCUUUAUGGCUCGGCAGGAGAGAAGUGCUGCACUGAAUGGCAGUAUGUAAAGACUUGGAGACUUCCUUCCUAGUUACCUUGGAUACCAAGUCUGAUUGAUGAACAUCUUAUGACCAGUACUGGAACUACCUCCCAAGAAGUACUGGUCUUCUUCAUAUCAACCAAGUCCUACAUGGCUGGGCUGAGAGAAUGCCCUGAGGUAAUGAUCAACCUAGAAGAUGCCAGACCAAGAUGACCUGGGGUACUCAACUUGAGAACUACCAACCCGUGCCUUUGUUCCUCUUUCCUAUUAACCCCAAGACUGCUGUGAGCAUUUCUGAAGACAGAUCUUAGGUCUCUAGAGCUCCAUUUUCCCUGUGUGAUCACACAGAGAGAAGACUUCCUUUCCUGUCUUCAACUCCCCUUAUCCCAUUGGCUUCCUGGGACAAGUGGCUGAGCCCAUCCUUUAGGACUCUCUGGAAGAGGGGGCUUUCACCCUAGCAACAUGAAACCUCACUGAUGCUCUGUUUAUUCUGAAAAAGAAAAAAAAAUAGCACUGUGUAUAGAACCUCUCAAUUCAAAGAUCACUGUAUUCAUUGAAAGGCCACUAUUGGAGCAAGAGAUGGAUUUUAUUCAAAACUUUGCAAAUAUUCCUCUAGAGUGUCCCCCAAGCUUGAAGAGGGGCAUCUUCAGCCACUGCCUUCACGUCAGCUUCCUUCGCUCUCUGUCCUGGGUUUCAUCUCUGCUUAUAAGGACUCCAGUCAUAUCGACUGAAGUCUCAUCACUUCACCUUACCUUAACUACCCUUAAAUCGAGUCACAUUCUGAAACCCAAUGGGAGCCCCACUCAGCUCAGGGCACAUUUGAACUACCUGUGUUAAGCCAGUGUGGAACUUCGAGUAUCCAUGUUUUGUGAGGUCUGGUGAGCCACGUUUUCCCUCCUUUGAAUCUUCCAUAUUCGUCAAGGUCAUCGACUGUGAUCCAAACCUACUGUGUGUAAAGCAUCCAUGAAAAUCUAUCUCCGUGUCACCCCUGGGGAUACAUUGAGGGAGAAAGAACAGAUGGAACUUGAAGGUCACGCUGUCUGCUGUGCCACAAGGA